rnacentral:rRNA from 1 species
UACGGGUAGCGCUAGUGUUAUUCCUCUUGAUUGGGCGUAAAGGGUGUGUAGGCGGUAUAGUAAGUUAAAAAUUAAAAAACUAUGCAGUUCAAUUUAUAAUUUUUUAAAAACUACUAUACUUGAGUAAUAAAAAAAGAUAGUGGAACUUUUUAGCAUCAGAGUUGAAAUGCGUAUACACUAAAGGGAACCCCAAAGGCGAAAAGCAACUAUCUAUUUAUUUCUGACGCUGAGACACGAAAGCAUGGGUAUCAAAUAAGG